UGGGGAAUUUUGGACAAUGGGCGCAAGCCUGAUCCAGCAAUGCCGCGUGAGUGAAGAAGGCCUUCGGGUUGUAAAGCUCUUUUAGUUGAAAGAAAAAAUCGUGACUAAUAAUCACGAUUCAUGACGGUAUCAACAGAAAAAGCACCGGCUAACUACGUGCCAGCAGCCGCGGUAAUACGUAGGGUGCAAGCGUUAAUCGGAAUUACUGGGCGUAAAGGGUGCGUAGGCGGUUUUGUAAGUCAGAUGUGAAAUCCCCGGGCUUAACCUGGGAAUUGCGUUUGAAACUGCAAGACUAGAGUGCGGCAGAGGGAGGUGGAAUUCCAUGUGUAGCAGUGAAAUGCGUAGAGAUAUGGAAGAACAUCGAUGGCGAAGGCAACCGUCCUGGGCUAGCACUGACGCUCA
rnacentral:rRNA from 1 species